rnacentral:rRNA from 1 species
ACGGAGGGUGCGAACGUUAAUCGGAAUUACUGGGCGUAAAGCGCGCGUAGGCGGAUUGGUAAGUGGGAUGUGAAAGCCCUGGGCUCAACCUGGGAACUGCAUUCCAAACUGCCAACCUAGAGUAUGGUAGAGGGAGGUGGAAUUUCCUGUGUAGCGGUGAAAUGCGUAGAUAUAGGAAGGAACACCAGUGGCGAAGGCGGCCUCCUGGACCAAUACUGACGCUGAGGUGCGAAAGCGUGGGGAGCAAACAGG